rnacentral:rRNA from 1 species
UUCGUGUACAAGGUCUCGCUUGGUGAACCAGCGGAGGGAUCAUUA